AGUGGGAUAACUGGGUCAAAUGGUGGUUCCAUUCCAAGUUUUCUGAGGAAUCUCCAUACUGCUUUCCAGAGUGGUUGCACCAAUUUGCAGUUCCUUCAGCAAU
rnacentral:pre_miRNA from 1 species